UCAACUUGUCAUCGAGAAGACCAGCCCAAA
rnacentral:sRNA from 1 species